UGCCAGCAGCCGCGGUAAUACGGAGGGGGUUAGCGUUGUUCGGAAUUACUGGGCGUAAAGCGCGCGUAGGCGGGCUGGUCAGUUGGGGGUGAAAUCCCAGGGCUCAACCCUGGAACUGCCUCCAAAACUAUCAGUCCAGAGUUCGAGAGAGGUGAGUGGAAUUCCGAGUGUAGAGGUGAAAUUCGUAGAUAUUCGGAGGAACACCAGUGGCGAAGGCGGCUCACUGGCUCGAUACUGACGCUGAGGUGCGAAAGUGUGGGGAGCAAACAGGAUUAGAUA
rnacentral:rRNA from 1 species